GGGGCGGGCAAAGGGAAGAGGACUAAGAGAUGGGUUGUGUUUGAUGUUGCUGGGGGCGGAUGCCGAGACGGAGGCAAUUGGAACCUCUAGCUGGUUUGGGAGGGCAGUACUCAUGACAAGGAAAAACAGAGCUUCCUUUAUCCUGCUCAGCCAUUCAAGUGUCCAAUGGCUCCAGUUUCAUGGAACGUGACCAAAUAACCCCUUGGAGGCCCAUCAGCACUGGACCAGAAACCACCGCCUGACAUCUGUCUGCCAGGGACUCCCGGAGCCCAUCCCCCCAUUCUAAAGGUGCGGACGUGCAGGAAGGUCUAGGAACGUAGGUUCAGCCAAGAUUUCCGGUCCAUCCAGUUCAUGAACUCGAAACGCGAGCGUGUCACAGAGGCUGCAAGAGAAGCACAGGAUGAGCCCGAGCAGAGGAGGAGGAAGGACACGCACAUCUCCUUUGCAGCUCUGCCGGCUUCGGGAAUGGCGCAUGACCACCUGCAACACUUCCAACUUUCUUAUUUGUCUCUGGUGGCGGCUUCCUCCCCUCUGCCUGGGCUCUUGCCAUGUUCAGUGGAAUCAUAUUAUUUCAUUCUAUAAAGCAUUGCUGUGGGAGGCCAUUUAGGAGACAAAAUGGACUCAUUUUUGCCUUCGAGUUAAGCGAGGCUUGGUGUGGGAUAACUAGUAGUUGGGACGAGGCUAUGAAGGGCUUUUCAAAGCGUGUGAGUGCCGUGUUAUAAAGGGAAUGAAGGAAUUCACCAAAGUGGAACCGGCUCUAAACUCUCCUGGGGACUCUCAGCAGGAUUUCCUAACCCUCGAGAAAGCCCUUGAAGUCCCUGGAGGAGAGCAGGCAGCAGUGGCCGUGGCAGGAACAUCUACCACCUGGUGAGACACUUUUUCCUUUGGAAUGCCCUCAUCCAAAGAGGGUCCCGAGGACUGAGUUCGGAUUUUCCAGACCAGACCUCAUUCACUGAACCCCCGUGAGAGAAAUGGGAGAGGACGAGGCUGGGGGAGCAGUACCAAAAGCUGAGGCCUGGAGGCUCACGAAACCCCCUGGAAGGCCAGAGAUGGCACGGGCUCUGGGAAAUCCACAACUGUCACUUCAUCGCCACACCCCGUGCUGCCUCUGUGCAACCAGCAGUGAGUGCAGAAUGGCUGAGGACCCGGCCUCCCGGCCAGCUUCCUAUGGAUACUGGAGUCAGAGUUUGGAAAGUUCCAGGUCCCAGCAUGCACUAGUUCUACAGGGACAAACUGAUGAAAUUCAAAGGUUUGGCUCCUUCUGUUAUUAGAAAAGCUUCCUGCUGGCUAUUCAACACAGAGAUGAGUAAUCGCCUCAGUCUGUGAUUUGGGCUGCUUCCUUACACCUACGUGUUAAGUUGCC